rnacentral:rRNA from 1 species
ACUCCUACGGGAGGCAGCAGUAGGGAAUCUUCCACAAUGGGCGCAAGCCUGAUGGAGCAACACCGCGUGAGUGAAGAAGGGUUUCGGCUCGUAAAGCUCUGUUGUUAAAGAAGAACACGUAUGAGAGUAACUGUUCAUACGUUGACGGUAUUUAACCAGAAAGUCACGGCUAACUACGUGCCAGCAGCUGCGGUAAUACGUAGGUGGCAAGCGUUAUCCGGAUUUAUUGGGCGUAAAGAGAGUGCAGGCGGUUUUCUAAGUCUGAUGUGAAAGCCUUCGGCUUAACCGGAGAAGUGCAUCGGAAACUGGAUAACUUGAGUGCAGAAGAGGGUAGUGGAACUCCAUGUGUAGCGGUGGAAUGCGUAGAUAUAUGGAAGAACACCAGUGGCGAAGGCGGCUACCUGGUCUGCAACUGACGCUGAGACUCGAAAGCAUGGGUAGCGAACAGGAUUAGAUACCCUGGUAGGAUAGCG